AAUAUUGGACAAUGGGCGAAAGCCUGAUCCAGCCAUGCCGCGCGUGUGAAGAAGGUCUUCGGAUUGUAAAGUACUUUAAGUAGGGAGGAAGGUCAUUAAGUUAAAACCUAGCUGUUUUGACGUAACCGAAAGAAUAAGCAACGGCUAUCCUCGACCCAUCAGCCGCGGUAAUACGAAGGUUCCAAACUUUAAACGGAAUUCCUGGGCGUAAAUCGCACGUAGGUGGUUUGUUAAGUUGGAAGUGAAAGCCCCGGGCUCAACCUGGGAACUGCUUUCAAAACUGGCAAGCUAGAGUAUGGCAGAAGGUGGUGGAAUUUCCUGUGUAGCGGUGAAAUGCGUAGAUAUAGGAAGGAACACCAGUGGCGAAGGCGACCACCUGGGCUAAUACUGACACUGAGGUGCGAAAGCGUGGGGAGCAAACA
rnacentral:rRNA from 1 species